rnacentral:rRNA from 1 species
CCUACGGGGGGCAGCAGUGGGGAAUAUUGGACAAUGGGGGCAACCCUGAUCCAGCCAUGCCGCGUGUGUGAAGAAGGCCCUCGGGUUGUAAAGCACUUUCAGUGAGGAAGAACGCCUGGUGGUUAAUACCCAUCAGGAAAGACAUCACUCACAGAAGAAGCACCGGCUAACUCCGUGCCAGCAGCCGCGGUAAUACGGAGGGUGCGAGCGUUAAUCGGAAUUACUGGGCGUAAAGCGCGCGUAGGUGGCUUGAUAAGCCGGUUGUGAAAGCCCCGGGCUCAACCUGGGAACGGCAUCCGGAACUGCCAAGCUAGAGUGCAGGAGAGGAAGGUAGAAUUCCCGGUGUAGCGGUGAAAUGCGUAGAGAUCGGGAGGAAUACCAGUGGCGAAGGCGGCCUUCUGGACUGACACUGACACUGAGGUGCGAAAGCGUGGGUAGCAAACAGGAUUAGAUACCCCUGUAGUC